AUGGAUUACCAGAUCCAGCUGCUCCUGCUUGUUAUUUGGUGGGCAGGUAUCAGGGGUCAAACACUGACUGAGUCUGAAUCAGUGGUUAAAAGACCUGGAGAAUCCCACAAACUCACUUGUACAUAUUCAGGGUUUAGUAGCAAUCCCAAUAUAGUUUGGAUCAGACAGGCUGCAGGAAAAGGACUGGAAUGGAUUGUUUAUAUCAGUUAUCACAGUAGCGACAUCUACUACUCAGAGUCAGUGAAAAACCGCUUCACCAUCUCCAGAGACAACAGCAGAAAGCAGGUGUAUCUGCAGAUGAACAGUCUGAGAGCUGAGGAUUCUGCUGUUUAUUACUGCGCUCGAGAGACACAGUGACUCAAGAGACACAAACUCUGUACAAAAACA